rnacentral:rRNA from 1 species
GAUUCCCCUAGUAACUGCGAGUGAAGCGGGAAAAGCUCAAAUUUAAAAUCUGGUGGUCUAUGGCCGCCCGAGUUGUAAUCUAGAGAAGUAAUGCCCGUGCUGGACCGUGUAUAAGUCUCCUGGGAUGGGGCGUCAUAGAGGGUGAGAAUCCCGUCUUUGACACGGACUACCAGUGCUGUGUGGUAUGCUCUCAAAGAGUCGAGUUGUUUGGGAAUGCAGCUCAAAAUGGGUGGUAAAUUCCAUCUAAAGCUAAAUAUUGGCGAGAGACCGAUAGCGAACAAGUACCGUGAGGGAAAGAUGAAAAGAACUUUGGAAAGAGAGUUAAACAGUACGUGAAAUUGCUGAAAGGGAAACGCUUGAAGUCAGUCGCGUUGGCCAGGGAUCAGCCUUGCUUUUGCAUGGUGUACUUUCUGGUUGACGGGUCAGCAUCAAUUUUGACCACUGGAAAAGGUCCUGGGGAAUGUGACAGCUUAGGCUGUGUUAUAGCCCCUGGUCGCAUACAGUGGUUGGGAUUGAGGAACUCAGCACGCCGCAAGGCCGGGUUUCGACCACGUUCGUGCUUAGGAUGCUGGCAUAAUGGCUUUAAGCGACCCGUCUUGAAACACGGACCAAGGAGUCUAACAUGCCUGCGAGUAUUUGGGUGGCAAACCCGAGUGCGUAAUGAAAGUGAAAGUUGAGAUCCCUGUCAUGGGGAGCAUCGACGCCCGGACCAGAACUUUUGGGACGGAUCCGCGGUGGAGCAUGUAUGUUGGGACCCGAAAGAUGGUGAACUAUGCCUGAAUAGGGUGAAGCCAGAGGAAACUCUGGUGGAGGCUCGUAGCGAUUCUGACGUGCAAAUCGAUCGUCAAAUUUGGGUAUAGGGGCGAAA